GGCUGUUGCCGGGGCUGAGCCUGUGAUGAGGCCCCGACGAGGUUUCUGGAACAAGUGGCUUCGGGUAAUGGUACGAGUACGACCCAGUUCCGGUCAGUGAGGGAGAAGCCUGCUGGGGUGCAGUCAGAGAGGCUUGGAUGAGGAGACACCGCUUCCUCUCCCGUGUUCUGCGCUGCGGUGCCAGGACGUGACGUUUGGGCUUGUUGUAGUCAACUUAAUACCAGGAGACCACCAACCAGAGGACGAAAAUCCAAGGUGUUCCAAGGUGUUGAGAAUAUCAGAGCAAAAGGAUGGAAAGAGCCUGGGCCCCGGGGGCCAUCGCUGAACUGCUGCACCAAGUCUUGGACGGAAGGGAGAAGCCAGUGGAGGCAUGACCAGCCUGGAGCCAAGUGAGGCUGAUGGCGCAGCUGAGUGCACCUGCUUAGACCCUCCACUCACUGGCUUCUUGGUGACCUGACUCUGCACAUCCUUGUGGCUUGCGUCUUCUUGCUGGUUGUUCAUCUGCAGGAAGAGUUUCUUGAUCCCUUUGCCAAGAAGACAGAAUGGGCUCCCAGGAUGCAGUGGAAACUUUCCCUUCUCAUAGGAAGAAGAUGGGAAGGUUUCUCUCCCACAGUGUGACAGGCGAGGCGCAUCGUAUCUCAGUCCGACUCCUCGGGAAAGUGACUCAGUCGGACACUUUGGGUCCACUCUGCCGCCGGGUUCUGUGUGCUGGUAGUUGGACGGCUUCACCAGUUACCUCGCUCUCCAGCUCAAGGGGGGUUUGGCCGGUGGGCACGCAGGCAGGGAUUGGGGGGGAGAGGAGACGGAGGCCUGUGUGUUUAUCACCCCUGCCCUCCCUUUGUGGGGCCCUCACAUUGGCUCAUCCUGGACUUUCUUACACUUUCUGCAAAAUGUCCCUCCCCGAACACCCUCUUUGUGUCCAAAUUCCAGCCAGCCCCUUGCCCCACAGCUGAUGGGUGUUAACAGGGACCCCUGAUACCAACUCCGCACCAUCCCUGGAGGUGCCCUGCCCCCUGCCCACCCCACCGUAGACAGGCCCCUUGUUGACUUUCCUCACCGUGUGAGGUUGGAAGGUGCCACUUGUUUCUUGCUGGAGCCCGGAUGGCUGGACUCACCCAGGGAACGCGCACAUCACCGGGGGAGGUGCCGUCACGCUGGUCUUCUGUGUGGCAGCAGAUGCAUCUAGGCUCCAACAUACCCCGUCACUUGCUGACUCAAUGUGGAGGUGAUUUAGCCCCUCUGAGCUCUGGUUUUCUCUCAUUUUAUUAUUAUUAUUUUUCCUCUUUACAGCCGCACCUGCAGCAUGUGGAGGUUCCCAGGCUAGGGGUCGAAUUGGAGCUGUAGCCACUGGCCUACGCCACAGCCGCAGCCACGCGGGAUCCCAGCCACGUCUGCGACCUACACCACAGCUCAUGGCAACGCCAGGUCCUGAACCCACUGAACGAGGCCAGGGAUUGAACCCACGUCCUCAGGGACACCAUGCGGCUUUUUAACCGGCUAAGCCAUGGUGGGAACUCCAGAUUUCUCUUAAAGUGGGGAUACUAUUACCUACUUCAUCAGCAUAUGUGUGAGUACUCUUAUAUAACUGUAUAUUUAAUAUCUAUUUAUAUUAAAUUGUAAUAAACAUAUAUUAUAACUACAUAGCACAUAUAUAUUUAUAGAUGCAAUAUCACCAUCCGCAACACUCUAUAACAGAACAACAAUAUAUCACCACAAUAGUAUGUACAGUAGCACAUAUCAUGUUCCAGGUUCCCUCAAUUUGUGCCGAGUCCCUUCCUCACUGGUCAGGCCCAGCCGUUACAAAGCGCUCAUUUUGUUUCCUCGUGUUGAUGAUCUUUGUGUUUCAAGUUAUGGGACCUCCCUUCCCCCGUGCGCCACAAAUUCCUACUUAACUAAAUGAUAGUUCGCUUCCCACGGGUGGUCCUGGCUGCUCUGACCUCGUCCCUCACGUCUGUGCAACCUGCAGACGACUCCUCUUGGGACGGCGAGUGCCGGACCAGGGGGUCCUUGGCGAAGUGAGGCUCCUUCGCUUGCGCCUUAACCCCGAGCGGUGGCGGCUUUCUGCGCAGGUGCUGUAGGCAGCACUGAGUAAUCCCACUGCUUUACAGGAUAGCUGUUUUUCUGUUUCCUUCUUUAAACAAUAUCUCUAAAAUGUGAUGAGAGCCCUGGCUAAACCCAGAGAAUUGUUGCAAGGAUUAGCUAAUUGAUUAUUUUAAAUGCUUUGAAACUGACGGAGGGUUUAGUAACAAGGACAGGCUGAAUACUUUUUGCAGGCUUGACGGGAGUCCACAGUGUAUCAAACGAUGCUUCCAGUUUGCUUUGGUAUCUGUAGCAGGACUUGCUUGUUGUAUAACAUGUCACGUUAAAAUGUGUUAUGUAUGCUGUGGCAUUUAACACAUGACCUGGGGAAAUGCUUUACGAUAAAGAGAGGUGUUGCAAGAUACACAGUGCUUUCGUCAAGUGGAGUUGCAGUUACUGAAACCACUGGGGUUUUUCGGACUUAAGAGAAGUCCUGUGAACACAACCCAGUAACAUUUGUUAUCUAAGGGCCCGCCGUGUAUGGAGGCUGGAUUGGUCACCAUGGUUCCUCGGAGAGGAGACAGAUACACACACCGUCAGAGCCCUUUGAUAGCAGGUGAUGGGGCUGAAAUGGACAAAUAUACAAGGUCAGAGUAGCAACAGCAACAACAAAAUCAGCUGGUAAUUCGUUCCGUCUGGGGGACAUCCAGGUAUGUCCAUCAGGGAGGAGGCUUGAGUUGCUCUUUAAGGGUAAGAGAAGUUUGUCACAUCAUAAAGGCGUGAAGGGCUUUUCAGACAGAGGGAACAGCCCAAGAAAAUCUCUUCCCUCUUCUGUCUGUCCCCGUGUCAUUCAAGUAUCUUUAAGAGCCUCCACUUCUUCUCUGUCUAACUCUCUACUAUUUUUUGCUCAUAAUAGGUACUCAGUACUUGUAAAUGGAUAGAAGUGGGUGAUAGGAUGAUAGGCAGCGAUUUCAAUUUUAUUCAUGUUCUUUAUUUUUAUAAGUUUUCUGUAACAGAUAUACCUUUAUUUUAUAAUUAGAAUAUUCUCAAGUAUUCAGGGAAUGGUCUUCAGAGUCCACGGCUGCACUGGAGUUGAAUGUCGUCAAAGAGGUUCAUGAACUUUGGGCAAAAUGGGAGUCAUUGUUGACCUGGUGAGGCAAAGGCUUGAGACUGUGGGCGCAUCCCUGGCAGUGAAGCUGGGAUGAUAGGUUGGGGCUCAGAACUUUGGCCUUCAUGUUCUGGACCAUGAGGAACCGUUGACGUUAUCAGGCAGGAAGUCUGUGUUCAGAGUCCUCCAGCAACACUGCGGAGCACGAACUGGCUGCAGGAGAGACCGGAGGGAAAGGACCAGCGGUGUCCCUUUAGAAUCCAGGUGGCUAUGUAUUGAAGGUUCUCUCUUUGGGUAGCGUUGGAGAGAAGACGAUGCAUUUGGUUGUGAUGGGAGGCGUUUGGAGUGUCUGUGGGAUGGUCUGUAGGAAGGCCAGCAAGUCUUGGAAACUGCCCAUGGGAAGGACUCCGUGUGUAAAACAAUGCUGGCCCUGGAGGCCUUGGAGAAUCGGGGAUGUGGAGGCUCCGGGAACCCCCUGGACUGUGCUCACAAAGGCAACAGAGAACAAAAGCAGAUGGUGCUGAAAAAUCACGAGGGGGCUAAAAGGAAGAGGAGGUUGAGAGGAGCAAGUAUCUGGUCAGGAAGUAGACUCAUUUCCUUUCUCCAGACAUUGCUCUUCCUCCUUGCCUUCAGGUUUGUGCUUAAAAGACAUCUCUGCAAGAUGCCUUCCCAGGCCCCCUGCCUAAAACAGCACCCUUCAUGCCACCUUCCCUCAGCGCGGUGUCAAAAUGCGAGUUUUAUUGUUAUCAUCCAGGCAUCAGGAGGAUUGCCGAUGAAGGUAUACGGCGAUUGCCUUUGGAACGUAGUUUGUCAGUCACAGCUCCCAGGAGGAGGGGACGUGCCUGCCAUGCAGGGCCACGUGGGGGAACCCCCAGGGCCAGUCAGGAGGCAGAGGGAGCGGGGCACACGGGCAAGGGCCUCUGCUGUGGUUUCCAUGGCAAGGAACAGGGAAGGCAGGAUAAGCAGGCUUGGGAUGGGCUGGUUGGAAUACAAACCCUGCCGUCAUAGGCAUUUUGACGUGUACAGUUCAGUGGCAUCUAAUACAUUCACAGUGUUGUACAACCAGGGCCUUCAUCCACCCCCAGAACUCUUCAUCUUCCCAAACGGAAGCUCUGCAUUCAUCAAACACGAAUUCCCCAGUCCCUUGCCCCCAGCCCCUGGCCACCACCGUUCUGCUUUCUGUCUCUAGGAUCUUGACUGCUCCAAGUGCUUGAUGUAAGUGCAGCCACACAGUACUUCUCUUUUUUGUGACUUAGCCUCAAGGUUCGUCCUUGUUGUAGUGUGUGUCAGCUGCAAAAAAGGUUUGGGAGGCAAGGGACAGGAUUUUCAAGACUGCCCAGGACCAGUGUUGAUCUGAUGCCUGUGUCUGGGCGUGGUGCCUUUUGCACAGGAUUGGAGUCCUUUUAGCAAGGAAGCCAGAAGCGACGUGGACGUUGUGAAGGUAACUGCCGUGGCUUCCACAGGGGUUUUGACUGUUGACUUCUUUCCAUAGAGACAGGGAUAUUGGGGCCUUGGCAUAGUUAUACAUUUUUCCUCUUGGAAGAAGAGUGAGCGUUUUCUUCACUGUUCUGUGUGGCAUCUAGUGAGUUGGUUUUUUUGGGCUUAAAACCCUGAGCUACUGAGGGGAACCCUGUUUACUUCCGUGGCGGGGUCUCCCCCUUUAGCCUCCAGGAGUGAUUCACACAGAAAGCAUUAGGAGCAUGGCCUGUUUUCUUCCUGAAUGACUUCGAAUUGGCUUGGUGUCUAACCCUUGCAACCGCUCGGCCUUCUGUCGUGCGUACUCACCUCUUCACGGAGGAGGCGGAUGCCUUUCCUGGGCUGGCGAGGCAGGGAGGCACAUCGUUAUGUCCUCACUGUACCGACACGCCGAAUAAGCACCUUGCUGUUUAUCGACUUGGAAACCUUCUGUCUUGGGCUUAAGAUCCAGUUGAACAGGAUGGAGAUGGCUGAGGAUCAUAAAAGAUUUCACUACGAAGAAAGAAGAUGAUACAGAUUCCAUGGUCUGGACGACCCAAGGUCGAACCCAUAUCCAGCUCCUCCCCAGAUAUUUGCACGUGGAAGAAAUAGAGUCACUAAAACUGGAAGGAAAGAAGAAAUGGACAGAACAUCCUGAAGAGCUGAGAUGCAGGAGCGGAGAGGGGACCCUGCCUGGGUGGUUGUGGGAGGAAGAGUCCACUCUGAAGAUGGACAAGUACUAUGGGCCUUGACGCAGGCAUUUUAUUUACUUAUUUAUUUCUUUUUCAGGGCCACACCCACGGCAUAGGGAGCUUCCCAGGCUAGGGGUCCAACCGGAGCUGCAGCUGCCGGCCUGCACCACAGCCACUGCAACGUGGGAUCUCAGCCGCUUCUGGGACCUUCACCGCAGCUCACGGCAACGCUGGUUCCUUAACCCACGGAGUGAGGCCAGGGAUCGAACGCACGUCCUGAUGAAGACUCGUCAGGGUCGUUACUGCUGAGCCACGGCAGGAACUCCCUCCAUGUCUGCACUGAUUGCCACUUGCCUCUUCACCUCUCCUUUCUCUGCUUCCCCAAAUCACAGCGAUGCCGAGCCUCCACUCCUGGUCCCGUGACCGCCCUCUCUAGUAAGUUUGCGGGGGAGAGAGUCUUCCUUUUGUGCACAUAGAGCCCGGUAAGUUGUACCAUGUUUUACUGCAGUCCUGAAUGGGUCCUAAAGAAGGAACUGAAUCGAGAACUUCUUACCUUCUCCUUUGAAAGAUGCCCCCAGAGGUGGAUGGUGUCUCCCUGUGAUCAGAGACUUGGCAGGGCUGAUUCUGACUGCGGUCAUCCUCGAUAAAUAUGUACUCGCAUGUGGCAGUUUUCUAGGCAGUGUACAGAGAAAGAGCCCUAGACCUAUCUUCUGGAUACUUACAUUUCUAGAAGAAUAAAGUGUCAAAUAAUCGAUGGGAGUGACCGUUUUAGUUCUUGUUUGCAACGCACACACAUUCUUACUAUCUUCAAAAGGGAGACAGAUGUGUCUGCAGUGACAUCCUCCGAAGGCCUUGCUUCUCACUCACAGCCCUCAGCUUAAGAAAUGAACCCAUCCACAGAGUUCCCACUGUGGCUCAGCAUGUGAAGAACCCAACGUUGUCUCUCUGAGGAUAGUCCCGUCCCUGGCCUGGCUCAGUGGGUUAAGGGUCUGCCAUUCCCGCAAGCUGCUGGCGUAGGUCACGGAUGUGGCUCAGAUCCAGUGUUGCCAUGGCUGGGACCUAGGCCGGCAUCUGCCGCUCUGAUUCAACUCCUAGCCCGGGGACUUCCGUAUGCCACAGUCAUGGCUGUCAGGAGAAAACAGAAAAGAAAUCAGCCAAUCCAAAGAUGUGUCUGUUUUGAUAUCUUAGGAACUCUCAGCUGUUAAAAGUAGAGACUCACUUUCCCUAAUGAAACUCUCUUUCAGAAUUUGUAUGGUGCUGUCUCUGUUGCUUCUGUAACUCAUAAUAAAAUAAUGCUUAAAA
rnacentral:lncRNA from 1 species